rnacentral:pre_miRNA from 1 species
AUUAUGCUCCCUCAUUCCGAAAUUACUUGUCGCAGAAAUAGAUGUAUCUAGACAUAUUUUAGUUCUAGAUCCUUGUCAAAAAAAUAUUUUAAUUCUAGAUACAUCCAUUUUUAUGCAUUUCUGUGACAAGUAAUUCAGGACGAAGAGGGUAUUUG